rnacentral:lncRNA from 1 species
CUUUUAUUCAUUAAAUUAAUUUGUGUCUUAUUAGCAUUAACUUUCCACAUAGUGGCAUUUAUUGUUAUAUCAUUACUUGACAAAAAAUAACACUUCAAUACAUAAUGAAAAACAGAAUUUUCAGAAUUAUAGUAUAUGUGUGGAAAUCAAACAUUAGCUGAAAUGAUAAAAAGGGGAAGUCUUCAUGAAAUAUCUGUACUAAAGUUAUAGUAAUGCUAAAUUCAGAAAUGAACCUCUUAAAAAUGAUCCACAGAGCAAAUGAUAUUUCAAUAGUAAAUACCACAAAGACCAAAGGAAAUAUAAAUCUAAUUCAAAAUUAUUCAAUAAAGGUCAGUAGGAAAUAGGGCAAAGAAAGAACAUCAGAUGAUAGGAAUUUUCAAUAAUUUUCUCAUCAGAAAGGUCAGAAUUAUUUUCCUAUUGUUCUUCAACACAUACACACACUUUUCAAUUAAAACUUGCAUGGUAGUGUUAAACAGAGAAGACUGCCACCAGCAAUUUUUUUAAAACUGAAAAAAAAUUUAAACUCUUUCAUCUUAAUUUACCAAUAUACACAAAGAACAGGACAUAAAGCAAACAAAUGAACAAGCAAUUCAACAAUAAAUAAGACAAAGUAAAGAUUUUGAUAUAAUCUCUCUUGCUUCGAUAAUAUCUCUCUCCUCAAAUGGCUUCUGUCAUCUUGUUGAAUGCUGCUUCUGUGUGGUUUUAUAAUGAAACAUAUUUUGAGUCAUGGAGCCCUUUCAGGAAGCAUCUAUAAAAACCAGGGAAAAUUAGUGAUUCAAUCAAAAUUUUUCAUAUAAAUUCAGGUGCACCAUGUAUAUUAUGAAACUACAUAAAUCUCUGAAUUAAAAGAAUUUACCAUGGUAUGAGAGGAAUUCUUCCUUUCUUUUUAGUCCUCUUUAUGCUUUGCAUUAAUUAUAAACAACUGAUGAUAACAGUGGAUCUAGGGCUUCCACAGUGCAUAUUGAUCUAUCUAAUUUUGAGCAUGCUUUGGUAACUGAUGUCACAAUGUAGUAUAGGAGUCACCUUGUCCUCCAUCACCCAAAACGUUGCUGUAAUAUGAGGAAGUGAAUAUAACCUGACAUUGUCUCACAUUUAGAUUGCUUGAAUACUUCAGAAUGGUCCAAAGAAUGUGAGAUAACUUUGACCCAAAGCUGUAGAGAUUACUUGCAAGAGACAACAGGUAAAAUGCUCAUCAUCAGAUUAUAGUGUUUGAAAAUACAGGAUUCAUAUGAGUAAAGUAUGUCAAAGGUUGAAAGAAUGCCAAUUUAGGAUAUAAUAACAAAAUUUAGUUUUGUGGGAAGUAUAAUGGUAUAUGAUAUAAUAGUAUGGUUUAAAUUCAUCAGGAUUUAAAAACUGAGAGUACCUUUGGACUUUUUAACAUCUUUAAAGUGGUCAGCCAGAAAAAUCACUCCUGGCAACCUCAGCAGUGAGGUCUUUUAAAAUAAUAAGUCUUCAUAAUACAUGGAGGAAUGUAGAAAUAAUUUGCUAAAAAGUAGAAACUACCAGAAUGAUGUCAAUUAAUCUGAAAUAUCUGUAGGACCUUAUGAGUAACAGACAGAUUCGUGAGGGCAGAGAGAAUGGAGUUCUGAUUACAAGGAAUCUAUUGAAUUAAAAUAAAAUAUAAAAUGCUAUUUCAGUUUAAAAUGCUAAAGGACUCAUAACCAUAAGAGAAUUGGGCAUCUCUAUGUAAUGUUGCUAUACAUAUAAAUUUGAUAAACUUAUAGAAAAUAAUUUGACUUUUUGCUGAAGAACCUUAGAAAUAUUCCUGUGGUAACUCCACUGAGAGAGUCAUAUUCCAAGGGGGUCAAAACAGUAAAUAUCCAUGUACAAAGAUAUUUACUAAAAUAUCAAGAGAAAAUAAUUUGCAAAAAUAAUCAUAUAAAAUAUCAGUUAAAAUAAUAGCAUACUUACAUAUGAACUAUACAUGGAAAAUUCUAACUAUAGAAUAUUAUUUUCAAUAGCAGUCAUUGAAGUAAAAACUGCAAUUUUAAACAGAAAAAAUGAGUUUCCUGGAUAGAGAAAUUCUUCUGCAAAAAAAAAGUGAAAGAAUCAAGGUUUAUUCCUUACCUUUGAAAGGUCAGUGUUGUUAGAAUAUAUAAUAUUGAUUGUGACACCUUAGUGAGGAUACCAAGGUCCCUUUGAGGACGAAAUCUUCAGUAUGAAAUAGGGGGGAAUUCUUUCCCUAGUCCUUGAAUUUCAUAGAAGAUGGCUUGUACCUGAAGAAGCAAGUAGUGUAUUGGGUUAGACAUAUUCCUAAGCAAAACAACCUAACAGUAUGAAGAUGUGCUUCAGAGAGAGAGAGAGAGAGAGAGAGAGGGAGAGAUUCAUGUACAUUCAAGUGCAAUUACAUGGAGAGCACAUAACUGUGGUGGUAUAAAAUAUUGUGGUUGAAAUAAUAUCAGGAGAGAGGAAUGUUUUUUGGUACAUAUAACAAACAAGUGUUGGAACUCUAUCAGAAAUCCCCACUGAUCAUCAGCAGAGACAGGAAAAUAUCACAUAAAUCAUCUGUUUGCAAGAAUAACAUUGUGAAGUGGUAAAAAUAAUGAAGAAAACAAAGAAUUCAGCCUGAUUGUGGCAUUAUCACAUUUUGAAGAUUUAUCAGCUGGACCUAAUAAGGCCCUGGCUCCUUGGAUCCAGUAAGUACCCAGGUUUGUUCAUUGUUUAACUUGUCAAUGGUGAAAUGUCUUACAAGAAGAAUUCUUCACAAUAAAUAAAAUGGGAGAAUACAAACAUAGUACUGUACUGGAGAGCGAUGUAAUUUUUAAAUUAAUGCAUGCUUUAAAUAUCUCCAUGCUUGCACAGAAAAAUAUAUUUAUAUUUGCAUUAUAGAACUUUAUAUAGAUUCUUUGCUGAAUGGAUAUAGUGAGAUGAGACCCAAAACAAGAGAAUCACAGUAUUUAUAUAUAAUAAUAAAGAGAAGACUUGACCUUGAGCAACUGAAAUAGAGAUGGAAAUUGGAAUAAUUUAGGAAUAGGUUAUUCAUCAAAUGUAGGUGAAAGAUGAUUAAAAAUAUAACCCAGAUUUCUAGAAUUGAAAAAUAGAAGCUAGUAGUAUAAACUUAAAUUUGGUAUUACUUAAACAUAGACACAAUUAGUGCCAUUUGGUAUGUAUUCAAUUAGAUGUACAUAUUGUAUAUCUCUGGGGGGAGAUAUCAAAGAAGGUCAACUCAUGAUUAUAUCAGCAUCUUUUUGAAAGAAAGCUAUGAUUUUGAUCAAUAAAUCUCAACUUCAACUUUUGCCUUCAAGUUCUGAUCUUGAAAUCACAGGUUUGGAAAUCAACACGUAUAAGGUCAUUGAUACCAGGAAAGUGGGUGAAUUUGUCAAGUGACAAGAACCACUGGUCUAGGUUAUUUGGUAAAAUACCAUUAUGCAGAAUAUGGGGAAAGACAAGUGUGGUCAUUUUUUUAAAAAAUUAAAAGUUACAACAAGGAGACAGGUAUAUGUAGAAUAGUCUUUUAAUAAAAUCAAAUGAAUUAAUAUCCAUUAGAUUUAAGACUUACCAUUUUUAUGACCUUUGUAAUGAUAGCAGCUUUAGCUGAAUGCUGAAAGCAGAAGUUGGGUUGCAGUGGGCUGAACGGUGAAUGAAAGGUUCAAAAGUGAAAAAAAGAGAGUCAAAGCUACUCCUUUCAAAUUUUAGAGAAGAAAUGUAAGAGAGCAACUUUGAAGUAGCUGAAACAAGUAAAGUUCUGUGCUAGCAUAUCAAAGUCAUGUUUUAUCUUCUGCCUAAAGACUUUCCUUUAAAGUAUAUUUAAUAGUCUGGCUAUUUGUCCAAGUUGAAACACAGUAAGGAUUACUCUUUGUGUUUGAAAAAUCAGUCUUUGAUAAGACUCUUUUAGACCUGUGAUUCUUACUUAUAUUAAAAUGUACAUAUUUCUUAAGUUACUUAUGUUCAACUGAAGCAAAAAUAGAACAUUUUUGUAGAAUUUGGAGGGUGUAUGUGAAGCAAAUGAAUUUCUCUGUAUUCUAAUCAUUCUUUAAAAACAUGACAGUUUUUUUUUUUUUUUUUUUUUUGGUACUGGGGAUCGAACUCAGGUCCUUGCGCUUGCGCAGCAGGUGGCGAAACCACUGAGCUAAAUCCCUGGCCCACAUGACAGUUUCUUAUAUAAGAAUAAUGAUAUAUGCAAUAAUUGAUCCUACCACAGCAGUGGCAUCGACUUCUAGAAAUAUGCAACAACACAUGGGAAUAUAGGAAUGAUGCAUCUGAGAUAACCAAUCCUAAGGACAACAGACAACAUCACCAGUUCCAUCAACAUCAUAUCAAAGGAAAACGCAAUAAGGAUAGAACAUAGCACGUUUGGGUGCUGACAAUGUGUUGUUCCCUUCUUUGUGAACCAGUGAAGCAUAAAAUGACAAAAUGCAGUGAUAAAGAAAUAUGUAAUUGAACAGACAGGAACAGAUGCGCAGAACAGAAAGUGCUGACUUUACUGGUAUAGUACUUUUCAGUUGUUCCUGAACUCUGAGCAUAUUCAUAUCCUUGAGUUCCUUGCAAGCUCCAAUUCCCUGAAAUGCAUUUCCAUUUUACUUAAGCUUUUUUUUUUUUUUUUUUGAAUUGGAUUUCUUUCACUUGCAAUAAAAAUACACUGAUUCCAUCAGGUUUUCAGAGAAACUAUUUGGCAGAAAAAAGCACUACAAAAAAUGUGAAGUAAUGAAUAAAUAAAACGCCAAAGAAGAAAAUUUUAAGAACAAAUUAAAAAGCAAUGCAGAGUGGUUCAAACUGCCAAUCCUGGAGUCAGAUAUAAGUAUUUAAAGUGAUGCCAUAAGUGUGACCAUGCAUUCAUUAACCAACAGUUUUAACAGAGCACCCAACUCUGCUCUCAGGGAAGUGUACAUUGAGCACACAAUCUUUCCUUAUGUGAAACAUAAAGGCUGGUGAGAUGUCUAGCUUUACUCUGCCCAGGAUGCUUGAUAAGAAUUUAGUGUUAACUCUAUUAAUUAAAACCACAGCAAGUUAUCAGUAACGCCCCUUUCAUAGACAAGGUAAGAAUAUAAAAUAAAAUGUGACAGGAAAUGAGAACAUGAAAUAAGAUGUAACUCCUUAGCAAGUUGUUUGUCACAUGAGUAGUACUUAUUAAAUGUUAACAAGCAAAUAUUCUCAUUUCAACUCCUGGGGAAUUGGUCAAAGUUGUUUAAACUUUUGUAGUUUACUCUCUAUUACUUUCAUCCAAUGUUAUUUGUAACUACUAUAGUACAAUUUAGGGAACAAAAAAUUAAGGUUAGGGUAAAUAAAGAUUUUGAGAGUUAUAAAGGGAAAAAUUGUGAAUAGCUGUCACUAUGCGUGCUCUUCUGGGUGGUUUCUUUCCUGUUGUCUUGCUCAAAAUUGUAAAAGGAAUUUCCAUUAAAAAAGUGGAUAUACACAAAGAUGAUAUCACAUACAUUUUCAGGAACAAAUAUAAAGUCCUUGGUAAAAGCAUUGGAAGAAACCAACAAGACUAAAAAACAUAUGUCAAUCAGAGAUAAGGAGCUACUUGCAACUGAAGGUUAAAGCAUUUAAACCCUAAGAUCUGGAAAUACCCUGCCAGUACUAGUAUACUACCCUGGCAUUUAUCUUGUCAUUUAAAAUCCUCACAGCAUGGAACAUAUUGGGCUUAGUCUUCUUGCUCUAUAGGAGAUUGGAAGCAUAAUGGAAAAACAAAGAGGGAGAGAAGGAGAAAGAGAGACAGACAGCAGGAAGACAAGAUUGCCCUUAUGCUCACCAUGAGCAGUCUUGGGGCACAGCUAUAGAGACAUGGAAACAUAUGGACAUACAACCCCCAGCAAUCAUUUCUAUAUGUCAAUGUUGUGUGCUGUAUAAAUAGUUUGACUCUGAGACAGCUUCACUUAGUACACAUUACUUGAAUUUGAAUGAACAGAAUAGUUUCCUUUGAGAAUUAUUUUUCUGACAUUGAAUUGUGAGGAUUUAGUUCUCUUCACAGCCUAUUCUCCAAUUUUAGCUGCUUCCUCAUCUCUCCUUUGCUUUCUUUGCUCCCUACUCUUUUCCUCUGUUUCUCUCCCUCUCUUCUGCAUAUCCUUUCCCCAUAUAUACCUCCUCUGUUGUGUUACAUUAAAUUUACAAGUCCUUUUCAACUUCUUGGUAUUGAAUGUUUUUGGAUAAUUUGUAAAAAUUGCCACCCUGAAAAAUGAAUUCAUAAAAUUAUGUCAGCUAAUUAUUUCACAGGUAAAUGUUAAAAUACAGAUAAAUCACAUUUCUGAUUUUAAAAUCAUAUCUAAUGAAUAAAAAUAUAAUUAUAUACAAAAAGGCUUAUACCAUAUAUACUUAAAACUUAUUAAGUCUGCAAUUUCCUUUUUCUAGGCUUUUCUACACAUCUUUCAGUUUUUGACUGUUUCAACUUUGAAACUAAUAAAUGUGCCCCUGGCAUGGGUUUCUCUUUUUUAUGUUAAUUCAUUGGUUCACCUCCUCCUGGAACCUUUCCCUGGGGAUCCAAAGAUAGCACAUCUUUCCCUUUCCUAAAGGUUAAUACCAGGUACAGCUUCCCAUUUCUAACUCUUUAGAGGCAAUUAUUACUGAAUUGUUAAGAAGGCAAAUCAGACUAUUUAGCUUUAUUUUUCAGUCCUGGAACCUUAGUCUAAGUGUUCAAAAUUUCUAAGAUUCAGCUUCUACUUCUUUAUUUGAACAAUGGAAAUAAUACCAUUAUUCUCCUAUUCUAGUUGUGGCAAAAAUUAAAAAAUAAAAUGCAAAGAUGGUACAUAGCAUAGUGUCUGGCAUUGAGCAAACAUUCAGCAAAUAUUAUUAUUUAAAUUAUGUUAAUAGUUGCAGGAUUAAUUUCUUAAACAACAAAAAAAUAGAACAUAAACUCCUGAAAGGCAUAAAGAAUAUCUUCUCUAAACAGAUAUUCUUCUCUAAAGAAUAUCUUCUCGUAUCACCCUUAAAAUUUAACAUUUUACCUUACAUGUAAAGAGUAUUUAGUAAGUGAUUGUGAAUUUAUGUAUAGUCAAUAUUUAGCCUUUCAUUUAAAAAUUUUUGUUAAAUAUCUGCUAAGUGCUAGGCAUUCUUCUAGUAACAGGAAAAAUAAUGGCACAUAAUACAAGAAAUUUAGAAGUCAUUUAAACUACACACACACACACACACACACACACACACACACACACACACACACGCAAAUUCCUUACUUUGAAUUGAACUGUAUCAUUCUUGCUGCAAUGACCAGCCUCUCCGUAAGUACAGCACACAACUCCGGAAUCACAAAAUGCGUAACUUAUUUUGUUAGAAUUGUAAAUAGACACACUGUUUCUUUAGUGAGAGCUAAGUCCCCAAAUGUCAUCAUGUCAUGAUGUAUGUUGAGUGUUUCAGGCUGCAGGGCAAGGGUCUUAAUCCCGAAUCAUCGUUCAUAUAGCAUACAGCUAUGUAACGCAGCACGUGCCAGUUCUUGGAAGUCUUGGGAGCAAUGUAGAAGCUGCUCAUCUAGGAUCAAGAAAAUUAAUUCGGCAACAUGAACGGAGUCCUGUGUCUCUGCCACCAAGUACUCAGAAUGAUCUCUUCGAAACAAGUUAUGCUUGAAUACAUCCUUGCUCACAAGUGUCCAGUUACUUUCCAUCAUAGUUUCAAAAAAGUCCAGAUCCUGCCUACUUUAGUCUUAUUCCAUACUAGUCUUCUUUCUUUCUCUGCAAACAUAAAUCCAUUAGAGAAAGGGAAUUGUUUUCUUCAUGUGUCAUCCCCACUUUGUGAAACACUGCCUGGUGAAAUAUAUAUAGACGUACUUAAUUCAUUGCUAAAUUAUAAAAGGAUGAAUGAUUGAAAGAACUAAGAGUUCUUUUCUCUCAAGAGAGAGAAUCCUCAGGGGAGUCUACGAGCAUGGCAUUGGUUGACAUUAAUUAGCUUCAAAGUUUCAGAAACCUUAUGCUCAUUGAAUUUAAUAACAGAGGCACUUCAAAGCAAAGUGCAAUCACCAGAGGGAAUAUAUAGAGCUACUCAUCAUAGUUUUUCACAUCUCCCAUGGUGAAAGCACCCCUGUUUUCCAGGAGAAAUAGAGCUUUGUGGGGUUCAGUUUCAUCUGCCAGUAUGUUAGAGAUUAGAGUCUGGAAGACAAAUCCAUGGCAUGUAUGGUGGCAGGCUCCCGGCAUGCCCUACAGCAUAAGUGAGGUAGUAUUAGCGGCUGAAGACCAUUCAGUGUACACUUUCUUCCAUCAAGAAAGGAAGCUUCUCUUCCUCCCUACUGACCAAAAAUAUAAAACCACACAGUUCAUUCUGUAUUCGAGUAUCUCUCCACAAUGACACAAAAUAUGUCAUAAUUUACUGCACUUAUUCUGGAUUAGAACUAGCUUGGUUUAAAUAAGAACAGCAUCACUUACUUGCUCUGUGAUCUUCCUUGGUUCACUUUGUAAAAUGGUGGCAUCUCUUUUGCUGUUGUUUUGUUCAAUUACAGAGAAAGUGAAAUAACUCGAUCUUGAUGAGGAACAUGCCUGGCACACAAAACCCU